rnacentral:tRNA from 1 species
GCCCUGGUAGCUCAGCCUGGCGGAGCGACCGCUUGGUAUGCCGAGGUCCGGGGUUCAAAGCCCCGCCAGGGCU